GGGGGGGGGGGGGGGGGGGGGGGGGGGGGGGGGGGGGGGGGGGGGGGCGGGGGGGGGGCGCGGGUGGCGUUGGCGGCGGGCGGGUGGGGAGCGCGGGGGUGGCCUACCUGUAAGCUGGGGAUAACUUCGGGAAACGGGGGCUAAUGCCGGAUCAUAUCUUGACCCGCCUUGUUCAAUCGUGAAAGCCGGGUGUGCUGUCACGUAUCGAUGGAUCCCCGCCGCAUUAGCUAGUUGGUAAGGUAACGGCUUACCACGGCAACGAUGCGUAGCCGACCUAAGAGGGUGUUCGGCCACACUGGAACUGAGACACGGUCCAGACUCCUACGGGAGGCAGCAGUAGGGAAUCUUCCGCAAUGGGCGAAAGCCUGACGGAGCAACGCCGCGUGAGUGAUGAAGGUCUUCGGAUCGUAAAACUCUGUUAUUAGGGAAGAACAAAUGUGUAAGUAACUAUGCACGUCUUGACGGUACCUAAUCAGAAAGCCACGGCUAACUACGUG
rnacentral:rRNA from 1 species